rnacentral:rRNA from 1 species
GCAAGUCGAACGGCAGCACGGAGAGCUCGCUCUCUGGUGGCGAGUGGCGAACGGGUGAGUAAUAUAUCGGAACGUGUCCAAUAAUGGGGGAUAACGAGUCGAAAGAUUCGCUAAUACCGCAUACGCCCUACGGGGGAAAGCAGGGGAUCGUAAGACCUUGCGUUAAUGGAGCGGCCGAUAUCUGAUUAGCUUGUUGGUGAGGUAAAGGCUCACCAAGGCGACGAUCAGUAGCUGGUUUGAGAGAACGACCAGCCACACUGGAACUGAGACACGGUCCAGACUCCUACGGGAGGCAGCAGUGGGGAAUUUUGGACAAUGGGGGCAACCCUGAUCCAGCCAUUCCGCGUGAGUGAAGAAGGCCUUCGGGUUGUAAAGCUCUUUCGCAAGGGAAGAAAACUUAUGAUCGAAUAAAUCAUGAGGUUGACGGUACCUUGAUAAGAAGCACCGGCUAACUACGUGCCAGCAGCCGCGGUAAUACGUAGGGUGCGAGCGUUAAUCGGAAUUACUGGGCGUAAAGCGUGCGCAGGCGGUUUUGUAAGUCGGAUGUGAAAUCCCCGGGCUCAACCUGGGAACUGCGUUCGAAACUGCAAGGCUAGAGUGUGUCAGAGGGGGGUAGAAUUCCACGUGUAGCAGUGAAAUGCGUAGAGAUGUGGAGGAAUACCAAUGGCGAAGGCAGCCCCCUGGGAUAACACUGACGCUCAUGCACGAAAGCGUGGGGAGCAAACAGGAUUAGAUACCCUGGUAGUCCACGCCCUAAACGAUGUCAACUAGUUGUUGGUAGAGUAAAAUCUAUGAGUAACGUAGCUAACGCGUGAAGUUGACCGCCUGGGGAGUACGGUCGCAAGAUUAAAACUCAAAGGAAUUUGACGGGG